GCCUUCGUGGCUCAGCUGGUUAGAGCGCCGGUCUCAUAUCUACUUCCUGGGUAACGACAUGACCAUCUUCACGGUGGGGCAUCCGGAGAUCGCCAGUUCGAUCCUGGCCGAGGGCA
rfam:Puccinia sorghi strain RO10H11247 Scaffold_1919, whole genome shotgun sequence.